UUUUUAGCUUAAGUAUGUCCCAUAUAAUAUUUGGAACAUACUUAUGCUAAUA
rnacentral:pre_miRNA from 1 species